rnacentral:rRNA from 1 species
AUGAACGCUGGCGGCGUGCCUAAUACAUGCAAGUCGAGCGAACAGACGAGGAGCUUGCUCCUCUGACGUUAGCGGCGGACGGGUUAGUAACACGUGGAUAACCUACCUAUAAGACUGGGAUAACUUCGGGAAACCGGAGCUAAUACCGGAUAAUAUAUUGAACCGCAUGGUUCAAUAGUGAAAGACGGUUUUGCUGUCACUUAUAGAUGGAUCCGCGCCGCAUUAGCUAGUUGGUAAGGUAACGGCUUACCAAGGCAACGAUGCGUAGCCGACCUGAGAGGGUGAUCGGCCACACUGGAACUGAGACACGGUCCAGACUCCUACGGGAGGCAGCAGUAGGGAAUCUUCCGCAAUGGGCGAAAGCUUGACGGAGCAACGCCGCGUGAGUGAUGAAGGUCUUCGGAUCGUAAAACUCUGUUAUUAGGGAAGAACAAAUGUGUAAGUAACUAUGCACGUCUUGACGGUACCUAAUCAGAAAGCCACGGCUAACUACGUG